rnacentral:lncRNA from 1 species
AUGGACUUCAUAAUUUGAUUAAGCUCAAGAGAAUUUGGUCAAUCUCUCCAUAAUAUUCAGACCAUGGUAGCCACCACAUUUGGAAUUCGCAAACAAAAAUAAAAUUAGCUCUUAAUGGUGGCUACAGCCAGGAUGCAAUGAUUCCUUGCAUCUGCUAUCCAUCUUAUUGCAUUGAAAGUUGAUACCAAAAGUUGAAGCUGCAUCGUUCAAAUAAUGGAAAGACCAAAUUGUCCCCAAUUGGAAAUUGUCUCUUGAAUGCCUGAAUAAAGGCGAUCAAAUCGGAAUCACUUCAGAUGACUAGAUGGAUCAGCCUGUGGUUACCUCAAUUGUAGCUGCAAUCAUGCUAUACAUUCAGGUUCAAAUCUAGAUGGGUCAUGUGUAGACGCAUAAUUGAACAGUUUGAAAAAUUAAAACAAAAAUACCAAACCAUUUUCUGACACAUUAAUCUAUCUCUUCACUCUCCUAUUUUUUAGCCUGGAUAAGUGGAUUUGUUCUUGUAGCUGGCGAUGAUCUUAAACAU